GAUGAACGCUGGCGGCGUGCCUAAUACAUGCAAGUCGAGCGAACAGACGAGGAGCUUGCUCCUCUGACGUUAGCGGCGGACGGGUGAGUAACACGUGGAUAACCUACCUAUAAGACUGGGAUAACUUCGGGAAACCGGAGCUAAUACCGGAUAAUAUAUUGAACCGCAUGGUUCAAUAGUGAAAGACGGUUUUGCUGUCACUUAUAGAUGGAUCCGCGCCGCAUUAGCUAGUUGGUAAGGUAACGGCUUACCAAGGCAACGAUGCGUAGCCGACCUGAGAGGGUGAUCGGCCACACUGGAACUGAGCCACGGUCCAGACUCCUACGGGAGGCAGCAGUAGGGAAUCUUCCGCAAUGGGCGAAAGCCUGACGGAGCAACGCCGCGUGAGCGAUGAAGGUCUUCGGAUCGUAAAACUCUGUUAUUAGGGAAGAACAAAUGUGUAAGUAACUAUGCACGUCUUGACGGUACCUAAUCAGAAAGCCACGGCUAACUACGUG
rnacentral:rRNA from 1 species